rnacentral:rRNA from 1 species
AUUGAACGCUGGCGGCAGGCUUAACACAUGCAAGUCGAGCGGAGAUGAGGUGCUUGCGCCUUAUCUUAGCGGCGGACGGGUGAGUAAUACGUAGGAACUUGCCUUUUAGAGGGGGAUACCCAAGGGAAACUUUGGUUAAUACCGCAUAGACUCGGAAGAGGAAACGUGCCUGUAAAGGUAUGGCUAGAAGAGAGGCCUGCGUCCGAUUAGCUAGUUGGUAGGGUAAAAGCCUACCAAGGCGAAGAUCGGUAACUGGUUUGAGAGAACGACCAGUCACACUGGGACUGAGACACGGCCCAGACUCCUACGGGAGGCAGCAGUGGGGAAUCUUGGACAAUGGGGGCAACCCUGAUCCAGCGAUGCCGCGUGGGUGAAGAAGGCCUUCGGGUUGUAAAGCCCUUUAGGUUGGGAAGAAGGAUACUAGGUGAAUAAGUUAGUAUUUUGACGGUACCGACAGAAUAAGCACCGGCAAACUCUGUGCCAGCCGCCGCCGUAACAC